ensembl:snRNA U6 U6 spliceosomal RNA
GUGCUCACUUCAGCAGCACAUAUACUAAAAUUGGAAUGAUACAGAAAAGAUUAGCAUGGCCCCUGCACAAGGAUGACACACAAAUUCAUGAAGUGUCCCAUAUUAAA